AACGAACGCUGGCGGCAUGCCUAACACAUGCAAGUCGAACGAGAUCUUCGGGUCUAGUGGCGCACGGGUGCGUAACGCGUGGGAAUCUGCCCUUUGGUUCGGAAUAACAGUUGGAAACGACUGCUAAUACCGGAUGAUGACGAAAGUCCAAAGAUUUAUCGCCAGAGGAUGAGCCCGCGUAGGAUUAGCUAGUUGGUGUGGUAAAGGCGCACCAAGGCGACGAUCCUUAGCUGGUCUGAGAGGAUGAUCAGCCACACUGGGACUGAGACACGACCCAGACUCCUACGGGAGGCAGCAGUGGGGAAUAUUGGACAAUGGGCGAAAGCCUGAUCCAGCGAUGCCGCGUGAGUGAUGAAGGCCUUAGGGUUGUAAAGCUCUUUUACCCGGGAUGAUAAUGACAGUACCGGGAGAAUAAGCUCCGGCUAACUCCGCGCCAGCAGCCGCCGCGG
rnacentral:rRNA from 1 species